rnacentral:rRNA from 1 species
UACAGAGGUCUCAAGCGUUGCCUCGGAAUCACUGGGCGUAAAGCGCACGUAGGCGGAUUGUUAAGUCAGGGGUGAAAUCCUGGAGCUCAACUCCAGAACUGCCUUUGAUACUGGCGAUCUCGAGUCCGGGAGAGGUGAGUGGAACUGCGAGUGUAGAGGUGAAAUUCGUAGAUAUUCGCAAGAACACCAGUGGCGAAGGCGGCUCACUGGCCCGGUACUGACGCUGAGGUGCGAAAGCGUGGGGAGCAAACAGG